ensembl:lncRNA
CACCAAUCAGAAGCGGGGAGGGGCGCGGCUUUGUCCCUCCCUUCUGCCGUUCUGACCAAUCGGCGGCGAGGUGAGGGGGCGUGGCUCCCCGGGGCGGUGCCCUGUCGGUGCUGAUGGGAACCGGGCUGCGGUGGACCCCUCUGCCUUAAUGAGAUGCUACAGGAAGAAAAGACGAUUUUCAAGGAGCAACACACGGUGAGACGGCCACGUAGAGCACCUAACACAUGAACGGAGCUCCCCCCAGUUAAAAGGCCCCAACACCCCCCCUGGUGGGCGAAGUACGAAACAUCACCGGCGUUCCCGAACGGAUUUUUGGCUCUUUGUGGAAACCUUUGUUGCUCCUUUGAGCAAUUCUGAUCUAUAUUGGAGCGCUUCCAUACCAGCCAGUACAAAUGUACACGUGUGGAUACGAAAUGCUUCCCUGACGUGUAUCCCUACAGGCACUGAGAGCUGCUUGCCAAGCAAAACCCCACAUUAAUCUGCAAGGGCAUCGUAUCGUUUGGGGUCCGUUUCACUGGAAGCAAACAGCCGUAUUUCUGAUAAUGCCGUAUUACAGAACUGCAGAAUGAGGCAGCCCUAAAGAACAGCACACACAGUGGUCAGCAUCACUUUGAAAAUCCAUAUUUUUACAUCCCGGCAUAAGAUUUGUUUCAAGAACAGAUCACCACCAGUUCAUUAACAUGCAGAAGAUUCACUAAAUCUACCCAGAGACUGAGCAAAUAUUUCAGAUAAUGCAAGUUUUUGAAUGCUGGCAUGUGUUCCCUUCUCCCACUGCCUUCUAUUUUUAUUUGUUGCAGCUGAAAGCCUUCUGAGGUUCCUUAGGGUUUGCCUGUGUGGCAAAAGGAACACCUGAUAAAUUGUAAUGCUCCCUGCCCUGAAAUAACACUCCCUUUCCAUGAAGGAGUCCAUUAUGUGUGUGCCUUGCAGGGAGGGACGGCCGGGCACCUCCUGCAGAUCUCUCUGCCCCACUGUGCAGUGAGGGCUCAGCUCGAUGGCUGCUUGCCACGGAUUUGCCAGGAUUUAAGGCAAUGCAAAAUAGUUCUAGAGGGAGACGUGGCAAACUGUUCUUUAAAUAAUGGCACUUCAGCUUUUAAGAAGCCGCAGUGGUGAAAUCUCAUCCCUUGGACUGAAGGGUCGAGGCUGUCUGCCUGAGGCUUGCAGUGCUAUCCAGCGCAGGGGGCUGUGCUUGUGUGGGGGUUCUGGCUCUUAGGGCCUUCUCAGCAAGUUCAGAGUGUGACAGCUACACUGUUACCGUGAGAACUUACACAGAGUGGAGUUAAUGGCAGCGCGCUUAGGCAUAUGAGGCAAAUGGGAGUUUCCAAGGCAUGAAGAGGUCACGGAUAGGCAGCUGAGAGAGUAUCAGCUCCUGCUUCCCAGGUGGAGAAACAGGGCGAGCAAAGGUUUUGUCACAGCCUUCAGUCCUAAGUGGCCUAGUGAAAAACAGGUAGUUAAACCUCUCAUGCAGAGAAGGAGAAUUUGCUGACUUGUAGUGCAUUAAAAUGCUGCCAACUAAAAUGACUGCUAUCUUAGAAGUUGCUUUCAG